rnacentral:misc_RNA from 1 species
GAUGAAGAACGUAGCGAAAUGCGAUAAGUAGUGUGAAUUGCAGAAUUCAGUGAAUCAUCGAAUCUUUGAACGCACAUUGCGCCCCUUGGUAUCCCGAGGGGCAUGUCUGUUCGAGCGUCAUUUCACCACUCAAGCCUGGCUUGGUGUUGGGCGACGUCCCCUUUGGGGACGCGCCUCGAAACGCUCGGCGGCGUGGCACCGGCUUUAAGCGUAGCAGAAUCUUUCGCUUUGGAAGUCGGGGCCCCGUCUGCCGGAAGACCUACUCGCAAGGUUGACCUCGGAUCAGGCAGGGAUACCCGCUGAACUUAAGCAUAUAAAUAAGCGGAGGA